GAAUAGUUAGCUGGGUGGAGACUCACCAAGUUAAUAACUAAACCCAACCCUCAAGUCCAUUGGCAAAGGACAUAUUUGAGCUUAAUGACUCUGUAUACACCCAGAAAGAUAAAGGAGGCUUUGAGAUCCUGCUUGGUAGACUGGGAAGAAGAAAAUGACUCAUUAGGUACCUGGAACACUGAAUGGCCUGCACUGGAAAUAUUUUGAAAGUGGAAAAGCUGCUGGAAAAAAAUGCGAAAACAAUUUUUUGACUUGAGUUCAUAUUUUUCAUUCAAUGGAAUAACUAACCUCAAAUUUGUAACCGUUCUGCUU
rnacentral:lncRNA from 1 species